rnacentral:lncRNA from 1 species
GAACACCAGAAGCAUGAGUCCCCAUGAAUAUUCAGCGUGUGUGUUUUUGUCUUCCUGAACAUUAUAGUCAAGUGAUUCUUUAUUCAGCCAACACCGGGACGGUGCCGGUUUGGACAUCAUGAAAGCCCUUUCAUGGUGGCUGACUGCAUUUGCAAAUGGGACCUAAGGCAGAGCCACCCUCCGCCCCACUGCAGUGACUUUUCCUAGUGGGCCCAGCUGGCAGGCCUCACUGUUGAUCAAUGGAGCCCUUGGCAGGGACCGAGGGACAGUGGCAGCCAUGCCUCCCCCUGCCACCACCACUCCUUCUGCCGCCUGCUAACCUGCACGCUGUGGGUGCCCUAGAGACCCCCAGAGGACUGACCAUCUGAGCCAGCUUCCUUCGAGCGCCGAGUCCCCCAAGAUGUGGCUGGAGUGGCUGGUAGCCUGGAGCUGGUCUCUGGACGGCCUGAGGGACUGCAUCGCCACUGGUAUCCAGUCCGUGCGGGACUGUGACGGCACAGCUGUCAUCACUGUGGCCUGCCUGCUCGUCUUGU